rnacentral:tRNA from 1 species
GCGGGUGUCGUAUAAUGGCUAUUACAUUAGCCUUCCAAGCUAAUAAUAUGGGUUCAAUUCCCAUUACCCGCUCCA